GUUCCAACGAAGCCAACUCCAGCUGUGAAAAAUAAACCUGCUCAGGGAUCUCAACUACAGGAAAAGCCUCCUCACCAAACCAAGAUGACUGCACAACUCCAAGCAUUCCGCAUUCCCAAGAAGGUGUCUGCAGAUCCACCACAUGUGAGCAAACCUGCCCAGUCUCAGACCCAAGUUCAACUUCAAGCACCACAGCCACAACACAGUAGACCAUCUUCAAGCUGUACUACUCGGGGAAAAACGACAAGCGAGGGACACUUCGGAUACACCUAGCAAGAAGCAGAAGACUGGGAAAGUUGUCGGCAAGGCAACAAGCUCAACAGUGCUAAAGGCUGGAACUUCCAGUCAUCCCAGUACGAUUUCUAGUAAAAUGACUGGAAAUGAAAAAAAACAAGAUGUCGAGGAAAGAAGAAAACAAGACAGACAGUAAAGGAUGAAACAAGACAGGAAAGAAUUCUGAAGUCAUUGCACUCAAACCCAAUAUUAGCCAUUGCACAUUUUCUCAGCCACAGCAUCAUUGCGUCUUCCAGACGAGAAGUCCUCUGAUACACAAGCUGAAAGGAAUACGAGAAAGUCUACUGCGUGACUUGUACAGCCAAUUGUAGCUCCACAAGCAAUCAUUGCAGCCACAGACUUGACCCUUCUGGACUACAAGAACAAAGAGAAUCUUCGUGAAGAAUCUGAAAUGGUCAUAGGAAGCGCAACAAGAGAAAUUGUGAACACUUUAGAUGAGUCUGAUUGCCAUAAGUUUUAUGCAGCAGUGCGUUCAUAUUACACCAAGGCAUGUGACUACAUUGUAAGUAAGUUUCCAUUCAAGUCUGAUGUUCUCAUCCAUGUGCAAGUGGCUGACAUUGCAUGUCAGAAGGAUGCCAAAUUCACUUCUCUAAAGUUCUUCAUCAACAAGUUCCCCUGCAUGCUGCUUCAGGAAGAAGAAGACAAGCACAGUGCCCUAGAUGCUCUGGAGAACCAGUUUCUUAUCUAUCAACUUGCUCAGCUUCCGUACUUAGUGCAAAAUGAGGAAUCUACUGACAAGCAGUGGACAGAUGACAGAGAAGAAUGCUUCUGGUGAACUGUGCUAUGACAGACUUGCAAGAGUAAUGCUUGGGAUUCUAACCAUACCCCAUACCAAUGCUGAAUGUGAAAGGGUCUUCAGUCAGGUGCGAAAGAACAAAACUGACUUCAGAGGGUCCAUGAGCAACGAAACUCUAGAAAGUGUCCUUAUUACCAAGGCUCGUCAAACAACACCCUGCUACAUGAGGGAAUGUGACUCUGAUUUUCCGAAGAGAGCAAAAUCUGCAACAUACAGAGCUCUAAAUGAGUAGUAUGGGAGAGUAGAUGUAAGUGUCAGGAAAGGCAGGUAAACCUGUGUUUUUCUCAGAACUCAUUUUUCUAAUUACUCAACUACCCAUUUUAAAAGGUUGAAUUUUAUGGGAAAUGGUCCCUAAAAUAGGCUCAGAGUGCACCAGAGAGCAUCUAGUACCCCGGCUAAAGAGACUUCGCGCUCGUGAUGUGCGCUAUGCGCACAUGAUAUUCAGUUUUACUUUAAAUGUUACUAAUUGAAAAUUCCAAAUGUUGGCAGCUAUGCCAGGCCAAGGUAGUUGCUUGAAAGAGGACUUUUGUCUUGGCUUCUUUCGAUUUGCAAAGUGAAUGUGGCUGCAACGUUACUCUAUGCCAUCCAGAACACACAUCUCAAAGUCAUCGCACACAAUUUUCUGGAGAGUGGGCAUUCCCACAUGGAAUGCAAUAGCAUGCAUUCUGCUAUUGAAACAGAAAAAAAGAACAUCAAUGUCUUCACAAUGCAUGACUGGGUAAAAAAUCUUCCACAAAUUAAGACGUCGGCUUCCAUACAAGGUCAUAAACAUGUGCCAUGGAGACUUUUAUGAUCUGAAAAAACUCUCACAGCAGAUCAUGAAUAACAAACGCCCAGACGAAGAUGGACACGUCUUCAACUGGCUACAUGUAAAGAGCUUCCAAUACAGGAAGGAAGAGCAAGGCACCAUCUGCUACCAUCUAUAGCUACUUGGAUGACUACAAGAAGAUAGAUCAUCAGUUCCACGUAAUCUGGACCUUGUCUACCAAGAGAAGCAUU